rnacentral:rRNA from 1 species
AGUGAACGCUGGCGGUAGGCCUAACACAUGCAAGUCGAACGGCAGCACAGUAAGAGCUUGCUCUUACGGGUGGCGAGUGGCGGACGGGUGAGGAAUACAUCGGACUCUACUUUUUCGUGGGGGAUAACGUAGGGAAACUUACGCUAAUACCGCAUACGACCUACGGGUGAAAGCAGGGGAUCUUCGGACCUUGCGCGAUUGAAUGAGCCGAUGUCGGGUUAGCUAGUUGGCGGGGUAAAGGCCCACCAAGGCGACGAUCCGUAGCUGGUCUGAGAGGAUGAUCAGCCACACUAGAGCUGAGACACGGUCCAGACUCCUACGGGAGGCAGCAGUGGGGAAUAUUGGACAAUGGGCGCAAGCCUGAUCCAGCCAUACCGCGUGGGUGAAGAAGGCCUUCGGGUUGUAAAGCCCUUUUGUUGGGAAAGAAAAGCAGCAGGUUAAUACCCCGCUGUUCUGACGGUACCCAAAGAAUAAGCACCGGCUAACUUCGUG